rnacentral:pre_miRNA from 1 species
AGGAGGAACAACACCUGUGGCGGCGGCCAACUCUAGAGCCCUGGAUUCAGCCCCCGCAGGAACUCCGGAGCUCUCCGUCUGCAGGGCCUGGAGGCUCCGGGGCGGG